UGGGGAAUUUUGGACAAUGGGCGAAAGCCUGAUCCAGCAAUGCCGCGUGUGUGAAGAAGGCCUUCGGGUUGUAAAGCACUUUUGUCCGGAAAGAAAUCCUUGGCUCUAAUACAGUCGGGGGAUGACGGUACCGGAAGAAUAAGCACCGGCUAACUACGUGCCAGCAGCCGCGGUAAUACGUAGGGUGCAAGCGUUAAUCGGAAUUACUGGGCGUAAAGCGUGCGCAGGCGGUUUGCUAAGACCGAUGUGAAAUCCCCGGGCUCAACCUGGGAACUGCAUUGGUGACUGGCAGGCUAGAGUAUGGCAGAGGGGGGUAGAAUUCCACGUGUAGCAGUGAAAUGCGUAGAGAUGUGGAGGAAUACCGAUGGCGAAGGCAGCCCCUGGGCCAAUACUGACGCUCAUGCACGAAAGCGUGGGGAGCAAACAGGAUUAGAUACCCUGGUAGUCCACGCCCUAAACGAUGUCAACUAGUUGUUGGGGAUUCAUUUCCUUAGUAACGUAGCUAACGCGUGAAGUUGACCGCCUGGGGAGUACGGUCGCAAGAUUAAAACUCAAAUGAAUUG
rnacentral:rRNA from 1 species